rnacentral:rRNA from 1 species
UCGGGAAUUUUGGGCAAUGGGCGAAAGCCUGACCCAGCAACGCCGCGUGAAGGAUGAAGUCUCUCGGGAUGUAAACUUCGUAAGAAUAGGAAGAAUAAAUGACGGUACUAUUUGUAAGGUCCGGCUAACUACGUGCCAGCAGCCGCGGUAAUACGUAGGGACCAAGCGUUGUUCGGAUUUACUGGGCGUAAAGGGCGCGUAGGCGGCGUGGUAAGUCACUUGUGAAAUCUCCGAGCUUAACUCGGAACGGUCAAGUGAUACUGCUGUGCUAGAGUACAGAAGGGGCAAUCGGAAUUCUUGGUGUAGCGGUGAAAUGCGUAGAUAUGCGGAGGAACACCGAUGGCGAAGGCAAUCCCCUGGACCUGUACUGACGCUCAUGCACGAAAGCGUGGGAGCAAACAGGAUUAGAUACCCGCGUAGUCCCUGAGCGGGCUGGCAAGGCGCAU